AUGAAAUCGGAUCACAGGUGCAAAAGAUCGAAGGUUGGUGAUGAUGUUGAAUCAAUGAAUAUGAUGAAGGAGGUGUUGAAGAUCGAAGAUCAAAGCAGGAAUCAACCCAUCCCCCUCAAUUCUGUUGGAGUUCUCUUAUAUACUUGCUGCAAGUUUGUUAGAGACUCUAGUAUACUAAGUCAUGAGCAGGGCAAGGCGAAUCUGGGCAGCAGGUUGGCAUCCGUCUUGAUGCAAGUUUUGAAUCUUGGACACGGCGUAAAGCUUUAG